UACGGGGGGGCAAGCGUUGUUCGGAAUUACUGGGCGUAAAGGGCUCGUCGGCGGCCAACUAAGUCAGACGUGAAAUCCCUCGGCUUAACCGGGGAACUGCGUCUGAUACUGGAUGGCUAGAGGUUGGGAGAGGGAUGCGGAAUUCCAGGUGUAGCGGUGAAAUGCGUAGAUAUCGGGAGGAACACCAGUGGCGAAGGCGACUACCUGGCCUGUUCUUGACGCUGAGGCGCGAAAGCUAGGGGAGCAAACGGG
rnacentral:rRNA from 1 species